rnacentral:misc_RNA from 1 species
AACUUUCAGCAACGGAUCUCUUGGUUCCGGCAUCGAUGAAGAACGCAGCGAAAUGCGAUAACUAAUGUGAAUUGCAGAAUUCAGUGAAUCAUCGAGUCUUUGAACGCACAUUGCGCCCCCUGGUAUUCCGGGGGGCAUGCCUGUCUGAGCGUCAUUGCUGCCCUCAAGCACGGCUUGUGUGUUGGGCUCCGUCCCCCCGGGGACGGGCCCGAAAGGCAGCGGCGGCACCGAGUCCGCUCCUCGAGCGUAUGGGGCUUUGUCACCCGCUCUGUAGUCCGGGCCGGCGCCAGCCGACAACCCAUCAUCCUUUUCAGGUUGACCACGGAUCAGGUAGGGAUACCCGCUGAACUUAAGCAUAUCCAUAAGCGGAGGCU